ACCAAGGCUGCGAUGCAUAGCCGACCUGAGAGGGUGAUCGGCCACACUGGAACUGAGACACGGUCCAGACUCCUACGGGAGGCAGCAGUGGGGAAUAUUGCACAAUGGGCGAAAGCCUGAUGCAGCAACGCCGCGUGAGCGAUGAAGGCCUUCGGGUCGUAAAGCUCUGUCCUCAAGGAAGAUAAUGACGGUACUUGAGGAGGAAGCCCCGGCUAACUAC
rnacentral:rRNA from 1 species